CCGAACGGGUACAGCGGCCUGGGCAGACCCGCCGUCGGCGGCAAACAGAAUGACGUCGGAGAAGGAAUCUGGCUGGGACGUCGAGAGAAAAGCGACCUUGGCCUUCAGGUCCUCGUGGCACUUCUUGAGGUCCUCGUGGCAGUUCUUGAGGUCCUCGUGGCACUUCUUGCAGGUGCCGGCGUCGUAUCUGCCAUUGCAAGAUAUGCACCUCAUGUUGGGUUGGGGUUCUCAAAGAUAA
rnacentral:lncRNA from 1 species